GGGUUGUGAGGUUAAGCGACUAAGCGUACACGGUGGAUGCCCUGGCAGUCAGAGGCGAUGAAGGACGUGCUAAUCUGCGAAAAGCGCCGGCGAGGUGAUAUGAACCCUUGACCCGGCGAUGUCCGAAUGGGGAAACCCAGUGCAAUCCGUUGCACUAUCGUUAACUGAAUACAUAGGUUAACGAGGCGAACCGGGGGAACUGAAACAUCUAAGUACCCCGAGGAAAAGAAAUCAACCGAGAUUCCCCCAGUAGCGGCGAGCGAACGGGGAGCAGCCCGGAGUCUGAAUCAGCUUGUGUGUUAGUGGAACGGUCUGGAAAGUCCGACGGUACAGGGUGAUAGUCCCGUACACGAAAGCACACAUGCUGUGAACUCGAAGAGUAGGGCGGGACACGUGGUAUCCUGUCUGAAUAUGGGGGGACCAUCCUCCAAGGCUAAAUACUCCUGACUGACCGAUAGUGAACCAGUACCGUGAGGGAAAGGCGAAAAGAACCCCGGCGAGGGGAGUGAAAAAGAACCUGAAACCGUGUACGUACAAGCAGUGGGAGCCUCUUUAUGGGGUGACUGCGUACCUUUUGUAUAAUGGGUCAGCGACUUAUAUUCUGUAGCAAGGUUAACCGUAUAGGGGAGCCGAAGGGAAACCGAGUCUUAACUGGGCGUUAAGUUGCAGGGUAUAGACCCGAAACCCGGUGAUCUAGCCAUGGGCAGGUUGAAGGUUGGGUAACACUAACUGGAGGACCGAACCGACUAAUGUUGAAAAAUUAGCGGAUGACCUGUGGCUGGGGGUGAAAGGCCAAUCAAACCGGGAGAUAGCUGGUUCUCCCCGAAAGCUAUUUAGGUAGCGCCUCGUGAAUUCAUCUUCGGGGGUAGAGCACUGUUUCGGCUAGGGGGCCAUCCCGGCUUACCAACCCGAUGCAAACUACGAAUACCGAAGAAUGUUAUCACGGGAGACACACGGCGGGUGCUAACGUCCGUCGUGAAGAGGGAAACAACCCAGACCGCCAGCUAAGGUCCCAAAGUCAUGGUUAAGUGGGAAACGAUGUGGGAAGGCACAGACAGCCAGGAUGUUGGCUUAGAAGCAGCCAUCAUUUAAAGAAAGCGUAAUAGCUCACUGGUCGAGUCGGCCUGCGCGGAAGAUGUAACGGGGCUAAACCAUGCACCGAAGCUGCGGCAGCGACACUUAUGUGUUGUUGGGUAGGGGAGCGUUCUGUAAGCCGUUGAAGGUGUGCUGUGAGGCAUGCUGGAGGUAUCAGAAGUGCGAAUGCUGACAUAAGUAACGAUAAAGCGGGUGAAAAGCCCGCUCGCCGGAAGACCAAGGGUUCCUGUCCAACGUUAAUCGGGGCAGGGUGAGUCGACCCCUAAGGCGAGGCCGAAAGGCGUAGUCGAUGGGAAACAGGUUAAUAUUCCUGUACUUGGUGUUACUGCGAAGGGGGGACGGAGAAGGCUAUGUCAGCCGGGCGACGGUUGUCCCGGUUUAAGCAUGUAGGCGGAGGUUCCAGGUAAAUCCGGUACCUUAUUAACGCUGAGGUGUGAUGACGAGGCACUACGGUGCUGAAGUGAUAAAUGCCCUGCUUCCAGGAAAAGCCUCUAAGCAUCAGGUAACACGAAAUCGUACCCCAAACCGACACAGGUGGUCAGGUAGAGAAUACCAAGGCGCUUGAGAGAACUCGGGUGAAGGAACUAGGCAAAAUGGUGCCGUAACUUCGGGAGAAGGCACGCUGAUGUGUAGGUGAAGCCCCUGCGGGCGGAGCUGAAAUCAGUCGAAGAUACCAGCUGGCUGCAACUGUUUAUUAAAAACACAGCACUGUGCAAACACGAAAGUGGACGUAUACGGUGUGACGCCUGCCCGGUGCCGGAAGGUUAAUUGAUGGGGUUAGCGGCAACGCGAAGCUCUUGAUCGAAGCCCCGGUAAACGGCGGCCGUAACUAUAACGGUCCUAAGGUAGCGAAAUUCCUUGUCGGGUAAGUUCCGACCUGCACGAAUGGCGUAAUGAUGGCCAGGCUGUCUCCACCCGAGACUCAGUGAAAUUGAACUCGCUGUGAAGAUGCAGUGUACCCGCGGCAAGACGGAAAGACCCCGUGAACCUUUACUAUAGCUUGACACUGAACACUGGUCCUUGAUGUGUAGGAUAGGUGGGAGGCUUUGAAGCGUGGACGCCAGUCUGCGUGGAGCCGACCUUGAAAUACCACCCUUUAAUGGCUGGUGUUCUAACGUAGACCCGUAAUCCGGGUUGCGGACAGUGUCUGGUGGGUAGUUUGACUGGGGCGGUCUCCUCCCAAAGAGUAACGGAGGAGCACGAAGGUUGGCUAAUCCUGGUCGGACAUCAGGAGGUUAGUGCAAUGGCAUAAGCCAGCUUGACUGCGAGCGUGACGGCGCGAGCAGGUGCGAAAGCAGGUCAUAGUGAUCCGGUGGUUCUGAAUGGAAGGGCCAUCGCUCAACGGAUAAAAGGUACUCCGGGGAUAACAGGCUGAUACCGCCCAAGAGUUCAUAUCGACGGCGGUGUUUGGCACCUCGAUGUCGGCUCAUCACAUCCUGGGGCUGAAGUAGGUCCCAAGGGUAUGGCUGUUCGCCAUUUAAAGUGGUACGCGAGCUGGGUUUAGAACGUCGUGAGACAGUUCGGUCCCUAUCUGCCGUGGGCGCUGGAGAAUUGAGGGGGGCUGCUCCUAGUACGAGAGGACCGGAGUGGACGCAUCACUGGUGUUCGGGUUGUCAUGCCAAUGGCACUGCCCGGUAGCUAAAUGCGGAAGAGAUAAGUGCUGAAAGCAUCUAAGCACGAAACUUGCCCCGAGAUGAGUUCUCCCUGAGACUUUAAGUCUCCUGAAGGAACGUUGAAGACGACGACGUUGAUAGGUCGGGUGUGUAAGCGCAGCGAUGCGUUGAGCUAACCGAUACUAAUGAACCGUGAGGCUUAACCUUACAACGCCGAAGGUGUUU
rnacentral:rRNA from 1 species